GAUGAACGCUGGCGGCGUGCCUAACACAUGCAAGUCGAACGGGGUUACUUCGCCGUUUGAAGCUUCGGCAGAGAACAUGAGGUAACUUAGUGGCGAACGGGUGAGUAACGCGUGGGCAACCUGCCCCGUACCGGGGGAUAGCAGUUGGAAACGACUGAUAAUACCGCAUAAGCGCACAGCAUGGCAUCAUGCAGUGUGAAAAACUCCGGUGGUACGGGAUGGGCCCGCGUCUGAUUAGCCAGUUGGCGGGGUAACGGCCCACCAAAGCGACGAUCAGUAGCCGGGCUGAGAGGCCGGACGGCCACAUUGGGACUGAGACACGGCCCAGACUCC
rnacentral:rRNA from 1 species